rnacentral:sRNA from 1 species
AGUGCACCCAGUUAGACUUGGAGCGGAAACUCAAGUUGAAUGAAAAUGCCAUCUCCAGGCUCCAGGCCAACCAAAAGUCUGUUCUGAUGUCGGUGUCAGAGGUCAAAGCAGUGGCUGAAAUGCAGUUUGGGGAACUCCUUGCUGCUGUGAGGAAGGCCCAGGCCAAUGUGAUGCUGUUCUUAGAGGAGAAGGAGCAAGCUGCGCUGAGCCAGGCCAACGGUAUCAAGGCCCACCUGGAGUACAGGAGUGCCGAGAUGGAGAAAAGAGUACUGCAAGUUUAAGAACACUGAAGACAUCACCUUCCCUAGUGUUUACAUAGGGCUGAAGGAUAAACUCUUGGGCAUCCGCAAAGUUAUCACGGAAUCCACUGUACACUUAAUCCAGUUGCUGGAGAACUAUAAGGAAAAGCUCCAGGAGUUUUCCAAGGAAGAGGAGUAUGACAUCAGAACUCAAGUGUCUGCCGUUGUUCAGCGCAAAUAUUGGACUUCCAGACCUGAGCCCAGCACCAGGGAACAGUUCCUCCAAU